GCUUGCAUCGAGAUCAGCGACAGCUAUCCUGGGCCUCCUGGCCACCAUCAAUAUGGAGAGCACUGUGAGGAGAUAGGUCAUCAGCUCUGGCUAUCCUGAGACUUGAAACAACUUCUCAAGCUCCAUCCUUAAGUCCCUUCUCCUGCCUCAUGGCUUCAGUCCCGUUUUCAGGCAGCUUGAGAUUGCCUGUGUCAGGAAGUGUAAACAAGGUGCUCAUAGGACUCCCCAGUGGCCCAGGUGAGGGACAAGUGGAAACUCCUCAAAGCUUACCUUCAGUUCUCAGCAGAUCGUGGUGUCCAGUCCGAGGGAUCGUCUGUUGGUUCUGUCUGCCAAGGGCCCCACUCUUCAGGGCAACUCAGGAGCCCUAGGGGAGCCAGCAUGAACUCACCCCCCCCCAAAAAAAAC
rnacentral:lncRNA from 1 species